GGAUGUGAGGGCAAUCUGGCUGCAACAUCUGUCACCCCAUUGAUCGCUAGGGUUUAUUUGGCUGAUCUGGCUGGCUAGGCGGGUGUCCCCUUCUUCCCUUUCCGCUCCAUGUGCAUCCCUCCCCAAGCUGCGUGUUCGGUGGAAGUGGACGACCUUCCCUGAAUAGAGAUGGACCAGUCUUCAGUGGAGGGUCUGCACUCCCCUGCUAGAACCUUCAAACAAGCUCUCAAGGUCCAAAUGGGAGCACCAUGCACAGUACCAAGAAAGCUUCAUGAAUGGAGUUGUAGGGUCCAUCCUCCCCCACCCCCAU
rfam:Erinaceus europaeus unplaced genomic scaffold scaffold00035, whole genome shotgun sequence